rnacentral:rRNA from 1 species
CCUACGGGAGGCAGCAGUAGGGAAUAUUGCUCAAUGGGGGAAACCCUGAAGCAGCAACGCCGCGUGGAGGAUGAAGGUUUUCGGAUUGUAAACUCCUUUUGUUAGAGAAGAGAAUGACGGUAUCUAACGAAUAAGCACCGGCUAACUCCGGCCCAGCAGCCACGGUAAUACGGGGGGUGCAAGCGUUACUCGGAAUCACUGGGCGGAAAGAGCGGGUAGGCGGGAUAGCAAGUCAGAUGUGAAAUCCUAUGGCUUAACCAUAGAACUGCAUUUGAAACUGUUAUUCUAGAGUAUGGGAGAGGUAGGUGGAAUUCUUGGUGUAGGGGUAAAAUCCGUAGAGAUCAAGAGGAAUACUCAUUGCGAAGGCGACCUGCUAGAACAUAACUGACGCUGAUGCGCGAAAGCGUGGGGAGCAAACAGGAUUAGAUACCCGAGUAGUC